rnacentral:rRNA from 1 species
UACAUGUGGGGCAAGCGUUGUUCGGAAUUACUGGGCAUAAAGGGUGCGUAGGCGGCUUGUUAAGUCAGGGUGAAAGUUUUCGGCCCAACCGGAAAAUUGCCUUUGAUACUGGCGAGCUUGAGUGCGUGAGGGGUAACCGGAACGAGUCGUGUAGCGGUGAAAUGCGUAGAUAUGACUCGGAAGGCCAACGGCGAAGGCAGGUUACUGGUACGCAAGCGUGACGCUGAGGCACGAAAGCGUGGGGAGCAAACAGG